UCGAACGAGAGAGAAGGAGCUUGCUUCUUCGAUCGAGUGGCGAACGGGUGAGUAACGCGUGAGGAACCUGCCUCAAAGAGGGGGGACAACAGUUGGAAACGACUGCUAAUACCGCAUAAGCCCACGGAUCGGCAUCGAUCUGAGGGAAAAGGAGCAAUCCGCUUUGAGAUGGCCUCGCGUCCGAUUAGCUAGUUGGUGAGGUAAUGGCCCACCAAGGCGACGAUCGGUAGCCGGACUGAGAGGUUGAACGGCCACAUUGGGACUGAGACACGGCCCAGACUCCUACGGGAGGCAGCAGUGGGGAAUAUUGCACAAUGGGGGAAGCCCUGAUGCAGCGACGCCGCGUGGAGGAAGAAGGUCUUCGGAUUGUAAACUCCUGUUGUUGAGGAAGAUAAUGACGGUACUCAACAAGGAAGUGACGGCUAACUACGUGCCAGCAGCCGCGGUAAAACGUAGGUCACAAGCGUUGUCCGGAAUUACUGGGUGUAAAGGGAGCGCAGGCGGGAAGACAAGUUGGAAGUGAAAUCUAUGGGCUCAACCCAUAAACUGCUUUCAAAACUGUUUUUCUUGAGUAGUGCAGAGGUAGGCGGAAUUCCCGGUGUAGCGGUGGAAUGCGUAGAUAUCGGGAGGAACACCAGUGGCGAAGGCGGCCUACUGGGCACCAACUGACGCUGAGGCUCGAAAGUGUGGGUAGCAAACAGGAUUAGAUACCCUGG
rnacentral:rRNA from 1 species